CAGCAGAGGUCAUGACCCCUGAUGUCCUGCUGCAACUCUACCUCUCAAAUGGUUUGAACGCCAUCUGCAACCAUAGCAACAAAGUCAGCUGGUCAAAUGCCACGAUGGAGAUAAAACCUCUGUGUUUUGAAGAUGAUGUUCCUCACAUUGACCACCACCAAAGAAAAAAAAUAAUAAUAAUUUCAAGCUGUCUGGUGUGCUUCAUCAUUCUGGGUUGCAUUCUGGUUGCUCUUUACAAACGGAGGAAAAAGAAUAAACGGAAUAUCAAUUCUCGUGGU